rnacentral:piRNA from 1 species
UGGCUGUUUUCAAUAAUCCAUCCGUG